AUUGAACGCUGGCGGCAGGCCUAACACAUGCAAGUCGAGCGGCAGCGGGAAAGUAGCUUGCUACUUUUGCCGGCGAGCGGCGGACGGGUGAGUAAUGCCUGGGGAUCUGCCCAGUCGAGGGGGAUAACUACUGGAAACGGUAGCUAAUACCGCAUACGCCCUACGGGGGAAAGCAGGGGACCUUCGGGCCUUGCGCGAUUGGAUGAACCCAGGUGGGAUUAGCUAGUUGGUGAGGUAAUGGCUCACCAAGGCGACGAUCCCUAGCUGGUCGGGGAGGAUGAUCAGCCAGACUGGAACGGAGACACGGUCCAGACUCCUACGGGAGGCAGCAGUGGGGAAUAUUGCACAAUGGGGGAAACCCUGAUGCAGCCAUGCCGCGUGUGUGAAGAAGGCCUUCGGGUUGUAAAGCACUUUCAGCGAGGAGGAAAGGUUGGUAGCUAAUAACUGCCAGCUGUGACGUUACUCGCAGAAGAAGCACCGGCUAACUCCGUGCCAGCAGCCGCCGUAACAC
rnacentral:rRNA from 1 species